UGGGGAAUUUUGGACAAUGGGCGAAAGCCUGAUCCAGCAAUGCCGCGUGUGUGAAGAAGGCCUUCGGGUUGUAAAGCACUUUUGUCCGGAAAGAAAUCCUUGGUUCUAAUAUAGCCGGGGGGAUGACGGUACCGGAAGAAUAAGCACCGGCUAACUACGUGCCAGCAGCCGCGGUAAUACGUAGGGUGCGAGCGUUAAUCGGAAUUACUGGGCGUAAAGCGUGCGCAGGCGGUUUGCUAAGACCGAUGUGAAAUCCCCGGGCUCAACCUGGGAACUGCAUUGGUGACUGGCAGGCUAGAGUAUGGCAGAGGGGGGUAGAAUUCCACGUGUAGCAGUGAAAUGCGUAGAGAUGUGGAGGAAUACCGAUGGCGAAGGCAGCCCCCUGGGCCAAUACUGACGCUCAUGCACGAAAGCGUGGGGAGCAAACAGGAUUAGAUACCCUGGGUAGUCCACGCCCUAAAACGAUGUCAACUAGUUGUUGGGGAUUCAUUCCUUAGUAACGUAGCUAACGCGUGAAGUUGACCGCCUGGGGAGUACGGUCGCAAGAUUAAAACUCAAAUGAAUUGACGGGGUCAUAGCUGUUUCCU
rnacentral:rRNA from 1 species